UAGUUCAAUUAAUUUAAAGUGAUUACAAAGGCAAAUGUUUAAUAUUUACAAAGAAGGGACAAUUUUGGUGCCAUUAAUUCCGGUAGUGGCGGCGCGUGGAUUUAUAUCUAAUAACUCAGCGGCAGCGCGUGGGAAAGUAAUGGUUUUUUCUCUUCUUUGUCGGAAGCGCAGAUAGCAUGGCGCGUUGUCGGUUCGAAGCGUACUACUAAGCAACAAUCAAAGAAAGAGGACAAAGGUCGUCCGAAUAUAGAAAAAUAAGGAGGAAUUCGACUUGGUUUUCCCAUUUGGCUCGGCCCCUCUGAACACAUACCUACCUCACGGGGAUAUUGAUCUGAUUGCCAUUACAUCUCAAAAUAAUGAUGAAGAUAUGACAAAAAGUGUUUGUCAUUUGCUUAAAAGUGAAGAAUUAAAAGCUGCUGACUUUCUGGUUGAGGAUGUCCACUACAUUCCUGCUCAGGUGUUAUUCUGAACUUGUUUUCCUCUUCUUUCGUUUAUGAAGCUGAAAUUGUUUGGAGACUAAUUUUCUUCCUGGUCUUGCUAUCUUAGAAGUAUUCGUUGUCUUUUUCCUUUCUUCUGAUCAACCUAGAUAGCUGUAUAAACGUAUUUUAUUUUAGGAUGCUAAUCUGGAAGUUCUUGUGACACUUCUUUCCGUUGCUUAGAUGGUGAAGGUAUCGUUGUGCUAAAUGCUAAAGUCUAAGAUGAUGGUUGGUUUCUAUCUCUUUUUCAUUUUGAAUAGAAUAACUAUAUGAUCACUUACUGGCCAAGUAUCCAGUUAGUGCUUUUAUUUAAAACUUUUUGAAACAUA